rnacentral:rRNA from 1 species
AGAGUUUGAUCAUGGCUCAGGACGAACGCUGGCGGCGCGCCUAACACAUGCAAGUCGAACGGAGCUACUUUGACAGAUUCCUUCGGGAUGACGUUGAUUUAGCUUAGUGGCGAACGGGUGAGUAACACGUGAGCAACCUACCUUUCAGAGGGGGACAACAGUUGGAAACGACUGCUAAUACCGCAUAAGACCACGCUAUGGCAUCGUAGAGGGGUCAAAGGAGAAAUCCGCUGAAAGAUGGGCUCGCGUCCAAUUAGCUAGAUGGUGAGGUAACGGCUCACCAUGGCGACGAUUGGUAGCCGGACUGAGAGGUUGAACGGCCACAUUGGGACUGAGACACGGCCCAGACUCCUACGGGAGGCAGCAGUGGGGAAUAUUGCACAAUGGGGGAAACCCUGAUGCAGCGACGCCGCGUGAGCGAAGAAGGCCUUCGGGUUGUAAACUUCUGCUGUCAGGGACGAUAAUGACGGUACCUGACGAGAAAGCCACGGCUAACUACGUGCCAGCAGCCGCGGUAAUACGUAGGUGGCAAGCGUUAUCCGCGG